UUAGCUUCUUAUGGUGAACCCCUCUUAAUCAAAAUAGGGGAUGUUCAAGUUUCAGAAGCAAAAAUCAAUUUUUAAGCUAGUAUUAAACAAUAAUGCGCGCUCAUUUUUCGUUGCACUUUGUUACCUGUCUUCUGUACAUUC